CCUACGGGUGGCAGCAGUGGGGGAUAUUGCACAAUGGGGGAAACCCUGAUGCAGCGACGCCGCGUGUGGGAAGACGGUCCUCUGGAUUGUAAACCACUGUCCCCAGGGACGAAGAUGACGGUACCUGGGGAGGAAGCUCCGGCAAACUACGUGCCAGCAGCCGCGGUAAUACGUAGGGAGCGAGCGUUGUCCGGAAUUACUGGGUGUAAAGGGAGCGUAGGCGGGACUGCAAGUUGGGUGUAAAAUCUACGGGCUCAACCGGUAGCCGCACUCAAAACUGCAGUUCUUGAGUGAAGUAGAGGCAGGCGGAAUUCGUAGUGUAGCGGUGAAAUGCGUAGAUAUUAGGAGGAACACCAGUGGCGAAGGCGGCCUGCUGGGCUUUUACUGACGCUGAGGCUCGAAAGUGUGGGGAGCAAACAGGAUUAGAUACCCCGGUAGUC
rnacentral:rRNA from 1 species